AUGAACGCUGGCGGUGUGCCUAAUACAUGCAAGUCGAGCGAACAGACGAGGAGCUUACUCCUCUGACGUUAGCGGCGGACGGGUGAGUAACACGUGGAUAACCUACCUAUAAGACUGGGAUAACUUCGGGAAACCGGAGCUAAUACCGGAUAACAUGUUGAACCGCAUGGUUCAACAGUGAAAGACGGUCUUGCUGUCACUUAUAGAUGGAUCCGCGUCGCAUUAGCUAGUUGGUAAGGUAACGGCUUACCAAGGCAACGAUGCGUAGCCGACCUGAGAGGGUGAUCGGCCACACUGGAACUGAGACACGGUCCAGACUCCUACGGGAGGCAGCAGUAGGGAAUCUUCCGCAAUGGGCGAAAGCCUGACGGAGCAACGCCGCGUGAGUGAAGAGGGUCUUCGGAUCGUAAAACUCUGUUAUUAGGGAAGAACAAAUGUGUAAGUAACUAUGCACGUCUUGACGGUACCUAAUCAGAAAGCCACGGCUAACUACGUG
rnacentral:rRNA from 1 species